rnacentral:lncRNA from 1 species
AAAACAUUAAAAACACAACCUUAACCAUUCUUGGCUUAUUCGCAUGAAUAAUUUCACAACUGUUAAAUAUCUUUUUAAGGUAUAAUCGGGCAGUACUUUCUGUGGUUGUAGCAAAAUUCAAAGCUGUCAGUAUCUCUGGCUGUACAUAAAAAGUGUUCGGUGCUUUAACUUUUUUAUUCUACUUGUCUUGUAAUCUUUUUCUGUCCCUGUAAAUGGAAAUUUUGCCGGAAAGGUCGGAUCGGACAUUAAUUCUUGCAGCAUGGAUGCAACAUAUUUUUGUACAUAAUUGCAGUCAAAAUACUACAACCUUCCCACUUCCGCUUUUGUAGUCUGUUGUCAUUUACUAUUUUGUUUUGACUUUUGCAUUAUUGUAGCGGUCGCCGAAUUAUGGAGAAAUAUGGCGAUAAAAUUUAGUUGUUUUUUAUUUUUGUAAUAUUUUAAAUAAUUGUAACAAAGGUUGCAUUUUUCGUUUGAUUCACUGCAUAUGAACACAUAAGAAUUUUGAAAUUUAACUUAUAUCGUCGUAUUUCCAUAUAAUUUGUUAACCGCUGCAAUAACAGAAAUACUGCAGUAAGAAACAGAGUUUUCCAAAAAAAUAGUUUUAAAAAAGUUUUAAAAGAGUUUUAAAAAGCAAAAAAAGUUUAAAAUGUUAGAUUUUUAAAAAAGUUAAAAAAAUUACGGUUAAAAAAGUUAGGGUUAGGAGUUAGAGAUUACUGGUUAGGAGUUAGGGGAUUAGUGGUUAGGGGUUAGUGCCGCGAAUUUAUUAUUAUCAUAAAUUCAAAAUGUGCUGCGAAUUUAUCAUAAUGAUAAUUUCGGACGUGUUUAAGAAUUUACUCAUAUAGUAAAUUCAAAGGUGGAGCUCAUGCUGAACUACAACACUGGCUUGUCAGUUAUUUUUGAUAGCAGCUCUUAUUUUUACUUUGUGCAUGCUUGAGUCAUGGAAAAGAACUUUUCUUUUGCUGGCCUGGGGAAUUUUGCAUGUGGAGAAAGCCGGGGAAUACAGAAAGUUGCACAAAUUGGGGGAGUGUAAUGCAGACAUUUGUACUCACCCCAGCAGUUGUCACCUCACGAGGCUUACCAUCAACGAGAGUGAACUUAUACUUGCCAGAGCAGGGCACUUUUACCUACCCAGGAAUAGCUGACAAACAUGACUAUCCAGUCUGUUAUUAGUUCAGUUUCAUUUUUCAAUUGGGUCUAUCCUGUCAAUAUGAGAUCAGUGGAUAGACUCUAUAAAAAGUGAAGCCAAUAGACAAAUUUGGCUAACGCUGUUUACAUCGUUGCCACCCAAUUCACAGCUUUGGAUAACUCACAUGCCUAGCUACUAUUGUUCUAGUUUACAGAAGCAUAGACUGAAUAGAACAAAAGUAACUAAACAUUAAACUUAUGUAUUAUCACUUUAUAUUUACUGAGAUCGAGGAAAACAGUGUGUUUUGUGGACCAGAGCCACUUAUAGAUAGUAUAUAAGUGUUAAAGUAUGAAUAAUUCACCGAUUAUUGGAGUGAACUUAGCGGCAGAUCAAGGCAGGGGCGCCGGAGCCACGGGGGCAACUGCCCCCGUUGCCGAAACAGUGCGGGGGCGGCACGGGGGCAACAGCUUGCCCUUUUUCACCAGAACUGCGCUUCGAAAUUUGUGCGUUAUUAACAUGAAUUGGGAUUUAUAACUAUUUUAAGCAAUGUUUGCUUAAUUUUAACCAGUUGUAGUAAAAUUAAUGCGUGAGGCCGCGGAAUUACUUUUGUAUAAUUGUGAUCAAAAUCAAACGAUUUUUGAAAAUAUGGAGUUCCUAUAAAGUCGGAAAUGGCCUUUACAGAGUUUUUACUACUACAAAAAGGGCAUUUCCUUUCUAGCCCCCCCAAAAAGGCAUUUUUUCAUUUUUAAAAUGUGGUGAGGCACAUGCCCCAUUGUCCCCGGUUCCGCGGCCCCUGAUUAAUGCUAAACCAGGCAAUAUACGUCUGUUUACUGAUUUUAUCAGCGCCCUUAACAUGGUGCAACGAAUAAAAUUGUUCAAAAUUAAUGUCGAAGUUUGCCGACCCACAAUAGCCACAAGUAAUCGAG